rnacentral:rRNA from 1 species
AGAGUUCGUUCCUGGCUCAGGAUGAACGCUGGCGGCGUGCUUAACACAUGCAAGUCGAACGAUUAAACCGGCUCCGGCCGGACAUAGAGUGGCGAACGGGUGAGUAACACGUGACCAACCUGCCCCCCGCUCCGGGACAACCUCGGGAAACCGCGGCUAAUACCGGAUACUCCGCGCAACCCGCAUGGGAUGCGCGGGAAAGCCCCUGCGGCGGGGGAUGGGGUCGCGGCUCAUUAGGUAGACGGCGGGGUAACGGCCCACCAUGCCCGCGAUGGGUAGCCGGCCUGAGAGGGCGAUCGGCCACAUUGGGACUGAGACACGGCCCAGACUCCUACGGGAGGCAGCAGUGGGGAAUUUUGCGCAAUGGGGGAAACCCUGACGCAGCAACGCCGCGUGCGGGAUGAAGGCCUUCGGGUUGUAAACCGCUUUCAGCAGGGAAGAAACAUGACGGUACCUGCAGAAGAAGCUCCGGCUAACUACGUGCCAGCAGCCGCGGUAAUACGUAGGGAGCGAGCGUUAUCCGGAUUCAUUGGGCGUAAAGCGCGCGUAGGCGGUCCGCCAAGCGGAUAUGUCAAAACCGGGGGCUCAACCCGCGGUCGCAUUCCGAACUGGCGGACUCGAGUCCGGUAGAGGAAGACGGAAUUCCCGGUGUAGCGGUGAAAUGCGCAGAUAUCGGGAAGAACACCGAUGGCGAAGGCAGUCUUCUGGGCCGCGACUGACGCUGAGGUGCGAAAGCUGGGGGAGCGAACAGGAUUAGAUACCCUGGUAGUCCCAGCCGUAAACGAUGGGCACUAGGGGGGGGGGGGAAUGACCCUCCCGGCCGCACCCAACGCAUUAAGUGCCCCGCCCUGGGGGAGUACGGCCGCGAAGGAUCAAACUCAAAGGAAUUGACGGGGGGCCCGCGCAAGCAGCGGAGCAUGUGGUUUAAUUCGAAGCAACGCGAGGAACCUUAUCAGGGCUUGACAUGCAGGUGAGCCCGCGGAAACGCGGGGGCCGAAAGGAGCCUGCACAGGUGGUGCAUGGCUGUCGUCAGCUCGCGUCGUGAGAUGUUGGGUUAAGUCCCGCACCGAGCGCAACCCCUGUCGCAUGUUGCCAGCAUUCAGUUGGGGACUCAUGCGAGACUGCCGGCGUCAAGCCGGAGGAAGGUGGGGACGACGUCAAGUCAUCAUGCCCCUUAUGCCCUGGGCUACACACGUGCUACAAUGGCCGGUACAACGGGCUGCGACGCCGCGAGGCGGAGCGAAUCCCAUAAAGCCGGCCCCAGUUCGGAUCGCAGGCUGCAACCCGCCUGCGUGAAGUCGGAGUUGCUAGUAAUC